AGCGAACGCUGGCGGCAGGCUUAACACAUGCAAGUCGAGCGGACCUUUCGGGGUCAGCGGCGGACGGGUGAGUAACGCGUGGGAACGUGCCUUCCGGUUCGGAAUAACCCUGGGAAACUAGGGCUAAUACCGGAUACGCCCUUAUGGGGAAAGGUUUACUGCCGGAAGAUCGGCCCGCGUCUGAUUAGCUAGUUGGUGGGGUAACGGCCUACCAAGGCGACGAUCAGUAGCUGGUCUGAGAGGAUGAUCAGCCACACUGGGACUGAGACACGGCCCAGACUCCUACGGGAGGCAGCAGUGGGGAAUAUUGGACAAUGGGCGCAAGCCUGAUCCAGCCAUGCCGCGUGAGUGAUGAAGGCCUUAGGGUUGUAAAGCUCUUUUAUCCGGGACGAUAAUGACGGUACCGGAGGAAUAAGCCCCGGCUAACUUC
rnacentral:rRNA from 1 species